AUGGGAUCCACUGAUAGGCUGGUGACACUGUCUGGAACCAUAGAGGAACAGAUGCGAGCUACUGACUUAAUUGUCUCAAAACUAUCUGAAGACCCACAUUACACCCAGUCAAUGAAUUAUCCAUUUUCAUAUCCGACCUCAUACAAUGCUAUGAACUACGGAUCCAAUGGAGGAACUGGAGGGAGGUUUCAAAGCAACAAGGAGGAACGGAAUAACUCCUUGACUAUUGGUGUUUCAGACGGCCACAUCGGCUUAGUUGUUGGUCGUGGUGGAAGGAACAUACUGGAAAUUAGUCAGGCUAGUGGGGCCAGAAUUAAGAUAUCUGAUAGGGGAGAUUUCAUGUCCGGAACCACUGACAGGAAAGUAACAAUUACGGGGUCACAAAGGGCAAUCCGUGCCGCUGAAUCGAUGAUUCUACAGAAAGUAGCAUAUGCUUCUGAGAGGGUUCUAGCACAGUGAUAGAUUGGCUGAACGUUCGUGUUAGAAGCAAGGCCGGGAGAUUUUCAUUUUUACUAUUGAGGGAGAGAGCGUGUCGAUGGCAAUGGGCGGAUAAAUAGAGUUCGGAUUUCACGAAGCGUCAAGAAGAUAUAUGCCAACAUUUGAUUGAGCCAAAUAGAAAGAUUAGCAAUUUCAAAUUUGUUUAUACAAUUGUAGCCUUGAAUUUAUUUUUAUAUUUAUGUUUGAG
rnacentral:misc_RNA from 1 species